rnacentral:tRNA from 143 species
GGCGGAUGUAGCCAAGUGGAUUAAGGCAGU